rnacentral:rRNA from 1 species
GCGGCAGGCCUAACACAUGCAAGUCGAACGGUAACAGGAAGAAGCUUGCUUCUUUGCUGACGAGUGGCGGACGGGUGAGUAAUGUCUGGGAAACUGCCUGAUGGAGGGGGAUAACUACUGGAAACGGUAGCUAAUACCGCAUAACGUCGCAAGACCAAAGAGGGGGACCUUCGGGCCUCUUGCCAUCGGAUGUGCCCAGAUGGGAUUAGCUAGUAGGUGGGGUAAAGGCUCACCUAGGCGACGAUCCCUAGCUGGUCUGAGAGGAUGACCAGCCACACUGGAACUGAGACACGGUCCAGACUCCUACGGGAGGCAGCAGUGGGGAAUAUUGCACAAUGGGCGCAAGCCUGAUGCAGCCAUGCCGCGUGUAUGAAGAAGGCCUUCGGGUUGUAAAGUACUUUCAGCGGGGAGGAAGGGAGUAAAGUUAAUACCUUUGCUCAUUGACGUUACCCGCAGAAGAAGCACCGGCUAACUCCGUGCCAGCAGCCGCGGUAAUACGGAGGGUGCAAGCGUUAAUCGGAAUUACUGGGCGUAAAGCGCACGCAGGCGGUUUGUUAAGUCAGAUGUGAAAUCCCCGGGCUCAACCUGGGAACUGCAUCUGAUACUGGCAAGCUUGAGUCUCGUAGAGGGGGGUAGAAUUCCAGGUGUAGCGGUGAAAUGCGUAGAGAUCUGGAGGAAUACCCGGUGGCGAAGGCGGCCCCCUGGACGAAGACUGACGCUCAGGUGCGAAAGCGUGGGGAGCAAACAGGAUUAGAUACCCUGGUAGUCCACGCCGUAAACGAUGUCGACUUGGAGGUUGUGCCCUUGAGGCGUGGCUUCCGGAGCUAACGCGUUAAGUCGACCGCCUGGGGAGUACGGCCGCAAGGUUAAAACUCAAAUGAAUUGACGGGGGCCCGCACAAGCGGUGGAGCAUGUGGUUUAAUUCGAUGCAACGCGAAGAACCUUACCUGGUCUUGACAUCCACAGAACUUUCCAGAGAUGGAUUGGUGCCUUCGGGAACUGUGAGACAGGUGCUGCAUGGCUGUCGUCAGCUCGUGUUGUGAAAUGUUGGGUUAAGUCCCGCAACGAGCGCAACCCUUAUCCUUUGUUGCCAGCGGUCCGGCCGGGAACUCAAAGGAGGCUGCCAGUGAUAAACUGGAGGAAGGUAGGGAUGACGUCAAGUCAUCAUGGCCCUUACGACCAGGGCUACACACGUGCUACAAUGGCGCAUACAAAGAGAAGCGACCUCGCGAGAGCAAGCGGACCUCAUAAAGUGCGUCGUAGUCCGGAUUGGAGUCUGCAACUCGACUCCAUGAAGUCGGAAUCGCUAGUAAUCGUGGAUCAGAAUGCCACGGUGAAUACGUUCCCGGGCCUUGUACACACCGCCCGUCACGCCAUGGGAGUGGGUUGCAAAAGAAGUAGGUAGCUUAACCUUCGGGAGGGCGCUUACCACUUUGUGAUUCAUGACUGGGGUG